AUUGAACGCUGGCGGCAGGCCUAACACAUGCAAGUCGAACGAGCGGCGGACGGGUGAGUAAUGUCUGGGGAUCUGCCCGAUGGAGGGGGAUCACUACUGGAAACGGUGGCUAAUACCGCAUACUAUCGGAUGAACCCAUAUGGGAUUAGCUAGUAGGUGGGGUAACGGCUCACCUAGGCGACGAUCUCUAGCUGGUCUGAGAGGAUGAUCAGCCACACUGGGACUGAGACACGGCCCAGACUCCUACGGGAGGCAGCAGUGGGGAAUAUUGCACAAUGGGCGCAAGCCUGAUGCAGCCAUGCCGCGUGUAUGAAGAAGGCCUUCGGGUUGUAAAGUACUUUCAGCGUGGAGGCUUUACUCGCAGAAGAAGCACCGGCUAACUCCGUGCCAGCAGCCGCGGUAAUUC
rnacentral:rRNA from 1 species